rnacentral:rRNA from 1 species
CCUACGGUGCGCAGCAGUGGGGAAUAUUGGACAAUGGGCGAAAGCCUGAUCCAGCCAUGCCGCGUGUGUGAAGAAGGCCUUCGGGUUGUAAAGCACUUUCAGUGGGGAAGAAAGCCUUGGGGCUAAUACCCUCGAGGAAGGACAUCACCCACAGAAGAAGCACCGGCUAACUCCGUGCCAGCAGCCGCGGUAAUACGGAGGGGUGCGAGCGUUAAUCGGAAUUACUGGGCGUAAAGCGCGCGUAGGCGGUCUGAUAAGCCGGUUGUGAAAGCCCCGGGCUCAACCUGGGAACGGCAUCCGGAACUGUCAGGCUAGAGUGCAGGAGAGGAAGGUAGAAUUCCCGGUGUAGCGGUGAAAUGCGUAGAGAUCGGGAGGAAUACCAGUGGCGAAGGCGGCCUUCUGGACUGACACUGACGCUGAGGUGCGAAAGCGUGGGUAGCAAACAGGAUUAGAUACCCGUGUAGUC